rnacentral:miRNA from 1 species
UGCCCAUGAUGACUGCUGACC